rnacentral:lncRNA from 1 species
CAGCCUGGCUCCCUCCCUCCUCCCUCCACUCUCUGGAGGCGGGCAGCCCCAGGUCCUCACCUGUGACGCAGGAGUCAGGACAGCAGCGGCUUCCUCACAGGCAGCAGUGGGGCUUCAAAGAGGUAACACUCCAGCAAGUCCGUGACAGGGGCUGCGGGAGGCGAGUGCCCAAUAAGUGGAACUAUUAUUAUUUUUAACUUCAAGGCACAAAUUAAAUGCCACGAACCCUGCUAAGUGCCAGAAGCAGAGUCAGCUCCUGGAAUAUACACUUUCUACCCACAGGAGCGUUCCUCCCGAGUGGAGCCCACACUGAGCUGUGACUUCCCAGGAGUCAUCUGAGGUGACCCAGCUCUGAGCCAAUGGAAGCCUUUGAGGGGGAAGGCCAGCCCAGCCAGCAUGGUGGUGGAUCCUGCAAUGGACACAUCAUGAGGACAGAAGCCAGCAUUGUGAUGUCACAGCCUGGCUGUGGCUUUGUGCUCCUGGAGCUGUAGGUGAG